rnacentral:rRNA from 1 species
GUGCCAGCCGCCGCGGUAAUACGUAGGUGGCAAGCGUUGUCCGGAAUUACUGGGUGUAAAGGGAGAGUAGGCGGGGCUGCAAGUCCGUUGUUAAAUCCAUCGGCUCAACCGGUGGCUGCGGCGGAAACUGUAGUUCUUGAGUGAAGUAGAGGCAGGCGGAAUUCCUAGUGUAGCGGUGAAAUGCGUAGAUAUUAGGAGGAACACCAGUGGCGAAGGCGGCCUGCUGGGCUUUAACUGACGCUGAGGCUCGAAAGUGUGGGGAGCAAACAGGAUUAGAUACCCUGGUAGUCCACACUGUAAACGAUGAUUACUAGGUGUGGGGGGACUGACCCCUUCCGUGCCGGAGUAAACACAAUAAGUAAUCCACCUGGGGAGUACGGCCGCAAGGUUGAAACUCAAAGGAAUUGACGGGGGCCCGCACAAGCAGUGGAGUAUGUGGUUUAAUUCGAAGCAACGCGAAGAACCUUACCAGGUCUUGACAUCGUGCGCAUAGUAUAGAGAUAUAUGAAGUCCUUCGGGACGCAUAGACAGGUGGUGCAUGGUUGUCGUCAGCUCGUGUCGUGAGAUGUCGGGUUAAGUCCCUCAACGAGCGCAACCCUUACGAUUAGUUGCUACGCAAGAGCACUCUAAUAGGACUGCCGUUGACAAAACGGAGGAAGGUGGGGAUGACGUCAAAUCAUCAUGCCCCUUAUGACCUGGGCUACACACGUACUACAAUGGUGAUCAACAGAGGGAAGCAAAGCGGCGACGCGGAGCAAAUCCCUAAAAGUCAUCUCAGUUCGGAUCGCAGGCUGCAACCCGCCUGCGUGAAGUUGGAAUUGCUAGUAAUCGCAGAUCAGAAUGCUGCGGUGAAUACGUUCCCGGGCCUUGUACACACCGCCCGU